ACUCAGUAAACCUGCCAGCAGCUCCCCACCUGCCUCCCAGAGCUCAUUUCCUCCUUCUACGAGAAGCAGCCUGCAGCCUUCACAGGCUCUGCCUGAGUAGCCUUGCUUGAAUCCAUGUGGGAGGCGAGAAUCCCAAUAUCCUCCUUUUGCUGCUAAGUCACUUCAGUCGUGUCCAACUCUGUGUGACCCCAUAGAUGGCAGCCCACCAGGCUCCCCCGUCCCUGGGAUUCUCCAGGCAAGAACACUGGAGUGGGUUGCCAUUUCCUUCUCGAACGCAUGAAAGUGAAAAGUGAAAGGGAAGUCACUCAGUCAUGUCCGACUCUUCACGACCCCAUGGACUGCAGCCCACCAGGCUCCUCCGUCCAUGGGAUUCUCCAGGCAAGAGUACUGGAGUGGGGUGCCAUCGCCUUCUCUGAAUAUCCUCCUAGACAUCACCAGAGAUCACAGAACCUUCAACCCUUCUUUGAAGAACCAGGCUGGCUACUAGACACCGAAGGCACCAUUCCGUCACAAUGGCCAACCCAGCUCACAGCCUUUCCACUCAAAUGCCGUUCACUCAUUAAUUUAGCAAGCAUGGUGAGCGACAACUAUGUACUAGGCCUUGUGCUAAGCCCUGGCAAUACGAUAACAAACAAAACGUUCCAGUGGGAGAGACAGAAGACAACCGCAAAGAAAUCAGGAGCUAUUAACCAGUGAACAAUCCAAGGAUGAAAACAAAAUAGCAUCAGACAGACAGGAGUGAGAGGUCCAAGCAAGCAGACAGGCUUGGAGGAGGCUCAGUGUGGUGCCCAGGAGAGGUCUCUGAGGCCUCUGCAAGGCAGGCACUGGGGAGAGAAAACAAGGAGUCCUUCGUUGGGAGGAGUGCUGGCCUGGCCUCUGAUUCCCAGGAACCCAGAGUGUGCGGCUUCCAGCCAGUCCCGCCCCCACAAGGCGGAAGCUUCAGUCUUGCUGUCCCCACACGGAGCCAGGUGGACACUUCUGAGCACCUUCGCGAAGGCUCUGUGGCCCCCUCGCCUCCCACACGACCUCACCUCUGUAUGCUGAUGCGGCCAGCAGGCCCCACCCGCCCAGCCACCUUCAUUUGCUAGAGCUGGCGGCCGGGCGGGGCUAGGGUCUAUCUGGCCGUCGGAUUAAUAUCCAGAUAUUAAGUAAACAAUAAAUUAGCAAAACUACAAGAAAAUUUUACAGCCCUUUGCAUUUGGCAAUCAUUGAGUGUUAAUUAGAAAUUCAUUACAAUUAAAAC
ensembl:lncRNA